UACAGAGGUCUCAAGCGUUGUUCGGAUUCAUUGGGCGUAAAGGGUGCGUAGGCGGCGCGGUAAGUCGGGUGUGAAAUCUCGGAGCUUAACUCCGAAACUGCAUUCGAUACUGCCGUGCUUGAGGACUGGAGAGGAGACUGGAAUUUACGGUGUAGCGGUGAAAUGCGUAGAUAUCGUAAGGAAGACCAGGUGGCGAAGGCGGGGUCUCUGGACAGUUCCUGACGCUGAGGCACGAAGGCCAGGGGGAGCAAACGGGG
rnacentral:rRNA from 1 species